GGAAUAGUCGCAAGCAGAGGGGGGAGAAAAAAGAAGAGAGCGAGACCAUGGCAGUGAGGACCACCACCGCCACAACACGACCACCACCUCUUCCUGGCGCCAGCGGCCGCGGAGGGCGGCAAGCCGGACGCCGUGUGACAUGAACGGUCAGCGGAUGAGGGAGGUGGACGAAUGCAAGAUGUCGGUGAUGGAAGGGGGUCGAAAUACAGGUGGAAUUGACGCACAGGGUCUGAUAGCCUACAGACAGGCUAUUGCUAAGCUGAACAAGCUUACCGGGAGCCCGCCUGCUGCCUGCUCGAGACCCCCCAACCGAGCGCCCACCCGCCCACCUCCCCUCCACUCCAGUACCAACGCUGGCUGCCUGCUUGCACCGCUGCUGGUUGAUAACAAUAGUCUUAAAUGUCUUUCUUUUUCAGUGCAUAUCGCUCAGACCACCCAACACAGCUAGUCCCGAAGGAACAAACCCGCAACACAAAUUGGAGCGCAUUUAUGAUUCAACUAUCAUGGCUUUUCGUCCUCGUUUGAUUUCCUUUCUCCGAUCUCUCCCUGGGUAUUCUGAACGUCUCACUGCACCUCUCGAUCUGUGCUCCAGCCUCACUGACGCUUCCACACCAAAAAAAUAAUGUUUUUAUUUAUUUUUUUUAAAGUGCUGUAGUGGUGAUAUACUAUAUAUACUAUACUGUUCAUAUAAGUACAUAAGUUGGUGAAGUGGAAUUGUUGUUGUUGUUGACUCCACGUUGACUCUGUCUGAAAUGAACCAAAAAUAUGAUAUCCCGGGUCCCCACCAUGUAGCUAAGCUUCGCUCACAGAAUAAUGUUGAAUUGAACAUGAAGGCAUUUCAACUACUAAAUGUAAUGUUUGUUCCGUUUCAUUUGAUUCCAAGAAAAUAAACGCUUUUGACUUUA